UUUAACUUAAAUUAUAAAUAUAAAUUAUAUGUUUUCCUCCAAGAGUUAAUAGUUAAAUAAUAUUUACAAUCAGUAUGAAAUCAAAAUAAAAAAGCGGGAAUUCAUCAUGUGGAGCGGUAAGCGUUUUCAGUAACGGAGUCGUAAGGGUAAAUACGAAACCCAAAAAAAAUUCCCUCAAGCAAAUAGUUUAUAAAUAAUAAAAGACUACUUAUAUAGGUACCUAUAUUAUAAUACGUAAAUAAAAAAUGCAGACUGACCCCAUUGACUAACAGUUAUGGGAAAUAUCUAGAUAACUUAUCAAGAUUAAAAUUGAUUACCUUUCAUCUCAUCUAGAUAAUUUUCAGCUCGGUUAUAUUUAUCUUUAUCUAUGGAUAUAAUUCUAAGUAUGUAUUCAUACCAAUCUAGACACUUUAGAUGAAUGGACUAAAAUAGAAAUUAAAAAUAUUAUCAAUCAUAAUCAUUUUUCUGUAUACCUAUUACUCGGAAAGCAAAGCUUUGGAUCAAACAAACAAAAUUAAGGCGAGGAAAAAAAAUGAAAAACUAAAAUGAAUACUUGUGUGGACAAGUGGGUAUAGUUCAGCUGUACAAUACUUGUCAAGUAUGUCAUGGUCAAAGAUGUGUUAAAUCUGGUCUGCCUAGGAUACAUGUAUAAAUAAUCAAAUCAUUAAAAUUCAUGGAUAGGAACUUUCGGGUUCACCUUUUUUUGAUAAAGAUAUGAUAAGAAAAACUUAUGAAUUCCCUUUUAAAUAUUCAAAUAUUAGUUAUGAAAAGGAACAUUUUUAUGAAUUUCUAAUUGAAAAAUAAUUUGCAAAUUUUCGGGAUUCAACAAUCGAAUUCAAACAAUUUUUGACAAAUCCUGUCAAAUUUCUAAGAUAAAUGAUAAUCACUGUAAAAUAAAGGCCAAUAGAAUGAAUUAUUAUAAAAUGAUGCAUUUUUAAUAAAUUAUAAUUUAUAUUACAUAAUAUUAUAGUAUACAUGAUAUUUAUCAAUUGAUUAUAGAUUGUUCUAUCUAUAAUCAAUAAUAUAAGCACAAAAUAACUUUUAUUCUCAGGUAAAAGUAACCAAUUACAAUAUGUUUAUUUCAUUAGUAAUCCAUAGUAUUUAGUUUAAUCAUUUUUGAAUGUUAACAACCAAAAAUG